CAUCUGCCAUCUGGGAGUUGUACAGAUUGGUGGUACCCUAGGACACACUAGACUCACAGAAAGAGCUUCUUCUAAAGAAAGCUGAGGCAUGACUGCUCAAGUCCCAGUUAUUCACGUGAAGUUUUCAUUCAAAAGCACUUGAGCACUGUAGAUACAUCGAUAGUGACUGGGCCAUGUCAUUAUCAUUAACAGUAGGAGAAACUCCAUAUUUGAAAUAUUGUAAUGGAUUGAAUGAUUUCUGUUAGACUCUAAGUACUACAACAAAU